UCCGCUCAUGUUAUUGAAAUGAUCGAGGAGUUACGGGCAACUCAGACUACUGAGUCCUCUCAGAGUAGUACUGCCCGAGACGAUCUCUUAUCCCAGAUAUUGGGACCAGAAAAUCUAGGUCAGGUUCGCAUGAUGGGGUUAGGUCCCACAGCUUCCACGUUAUGGGGCACGAGAAAUACCAUUGCAGAACUCAGGAGGGAGACUGAUGAGUUGCGACGACACAUGAAUGAGCGGGUAGAGCAACUGGUGGAGGAGCGGAUGAAAGAACAGAUGGCUAAGCAUCUAGAGCAGAUGGAGCAACGGAUGACAGAGCGAAUAACGGAGCAGAUGAUGGCACGAAUGAGAGAUACUAUGAACUCAUUGGAUCUAACGGACCAAACUUCGGGCAAUGUACUAAAUGUAGAGGCUAACUCAGUAUCCACUCCUAGGGAUGGACCUGAGGCUGAGGGACCUUGGUCGAAGGUUCCGAAGAAUCAAUAGGUCAAGUCGUAUUUAUGUGUAUUUAUGUGUUUGACAUGCGAAAGAAUCCAAGAGCUGUCUUGAAAUGAGGGUUGCAAAUUGGAAAAAGGCGAUUCCCUGCUCUUGCUUUUUGUUAAACUGCAACUAAAGUUCUUGUCUUGAUGAUGGUUUCAAAAACAGGCGAUGCCAAGAACAACCACCUAGUGACUUCUCUAUUGCUCAGUUCCGGUUUCUGGAGCGACUACUUGUCGUCCAUGGGCACCGAUGCUAUAAGAGGAUUACCCAAAUGGUAAGAACUACAAAAUACCUU